rnacentral:rRNA from 1 species
AGUGAACGCUGGCGGUAGGCCUAACACAUGCAAGUCGAACGGCAGCACAGAGGAGCUUGCUCCUUGGGUGGCGAGUGGCGGACGGGUGAGGAAUACAUCGGAAUCUACUCUGUCGUGGGGGAUAACGUAGGGAAACUUACGCUAAUACCGCAUACGACCUACGGGUGAAAGCAGGGGAUCUUCGGACCUUGCGCGAUUGAAUGAGCCGAUGUCGGAUUAGCUAGUUGGCGGGGUAAAGGCCCACCAAGGCGACGGUCCGUAGCUGGUCUGAGAGGAUGAUCAGCCACACUGGAAAUGAGACACGGUCCAGACUCCUACGGGAGGCAGCAGUGGGGAAUAUUGGACAAGGGGCGCAAGCCUGAUCCAGCCAUACCGCGUGGGUGAAGAAGGCCUUCGGGUUGUAAAGCCCUUUUGUUGGGAAAGAAAUCCAGCUGGCUAAUACCCGGUUGGGAUGACGGUACCCAAAGAAUAAGCACCGGCUAACUUCGUGCCAGCAGCCGCCGCGG